GUUACCUACAUGGGACACAGCAGGCCAGCCGUGAGGGAGAUAGGGCCCCUCGGGGAAGCUCAGAGAAGCUGGAUGGUCGUCCAAAGUGAGAAAACAGUGUAACAAGAGUUGUGAUGGUCAAAGUGAGAGCACCGGUCCCUCCUUGGGAGGGUCACGAGAGGCCUUCCAGAAGGACCCGUCCUUCACACAACCCUAAGGAAGGAGGAAAGAAAGGUGGGAUGCAACGGUUUUGAAGACUGACGAUGAAAAGUUCCUAUCCGAAGGAGCUUCUGGACAGUAGAGCUGAGAAAGAGUGUCUACCUGCAGCCACGUAUCUGGUUACAGGAUCUCCCCAGAGGAGGAACCUCAUAGAAAACAAACAAAACAAACAACUCCGGCUCAAAGUCACAGAAUGAGAAGAUGAGACAGCAAAGAAAAACUCUGUGAGAAGGACCUUACCAGGUACUGUUAACAACUAAACACAACAGUAAACUCAUGCCUCCAAGUCCAAAGACGUAUGCCACAGGAAACCACUGGGAGGCUGUCCUGAGACCUCAAACGGUGCCAUGUGAGGGAUGGUUCCAAAACAGACAAGGGCAGGAAGCUGCACCUUCCCUCCAAGACCACUGGGACCAGGCUGGUAACUGCAGGAAGUGCCACCUUCCCUCAAGACCCACCAGACAAGACCGCCAGAGCUACCCAGGGGGGUGCUUUAAUCUGCAUGUGCUUUUGCUCUUUUUCUCUCCUCUCUGUAAAGUUAAGGUUUAAACUGUUGACGCUUCUUAGCUAUCAACCAUGAUACCUCCAAGGUCUUUAUCUUUCAUACUGUUGUUUGGUUGUUCGUAUUUUACCUCAGUCCCUCCUCAGUUGGAGAGUCCAGGGCCAGGCUGCAAUUUGCUCACCAUUUGGCUACAACGUGCGAUUACACAGUAUGCUGGCUUUGUACUUACUUGCCUUUCGGGACCAUCCAGCUUUCUUUGCUGUCAGUGUCAUGGAAUUAAUCAAAUUACUUCCUAGGUGAUAAGACUCAACCGAGAAGUGAUCUGGGGAUUAAAAGUAGUUUAACAGGUCAAACAACCAGAAUUCUAGAACCUCCUGUCAUGUCAUACAUAGAAGGGAAUUUGGGGGUCCUAAACAAAAAACGCUCAGAAACCUUUUGUUUAGCUUUCCCUUUUUGUUAGCUUUUCCACGUAAACUUUCACAAAAGGAAAGCCAGUAGUGAUGGUAAAAUGAGGGACAAAGAAGUGUUUUGAGAAAAUGGGACCCAAUGAGAGGAAAAGAGACUGUAAGAGUUCACUGAGGGAAGAGGGCCCCCAAAGGGUACUCAAGCAAGGAAGCAACUGAGGUGAAUAUGCCUGUGGAGAGUCCACAGAGAAUACAGAAGGCAGUGGUAUGGAGUCUGCAGGCGAUCUAGAACGUGGGCAUCUGUAGAAUCCAGUGAGAAAGUGGAAACCAAAAGUACAGGGACGUAGGGGUCUGUUAUAGGUCUUCAGAAAGUCCGUGAGAGGCUGAAGGCAGAGAUUGAGCUAAGCCCCUCAGAGGAAUGGUGGGAGCCAUAGGGCCGUGAGGCAGCACAGCAUCUUCCACAGGCUCCCAAACAGCAGAAUGUCAGCUUCCAUGGCCGCUGUAUCACACAACUCACAGUGGGGAUCUUGAUAAAAGUGCUGCCACAAACUGCCUGUAACUGGGACCUUGUCCAAAUGGCUACAGAAGACAAAAGGAGUAAGCUAAGGUCAGUGAGCUGGGAUGGGGCCUGGCAGA